rnacentral:rRNA from 1 species
UGGCCUUGACAUACUAAGAACUUUCCAGAGAUGGAUUGGUGCCUUCGGGAACUUAGAUACAGGUGCUGCAUGGCUGUCGUCAGCUCGUGUCGUGAGAUGUUGGGUUAAGUCCGCAACGAGCGCAACCCUUUUCCUUAUUUGCCAGCGGGUAAUGCCGGGAACUUUUAAGGAUACUGCCAGUGACAAACUGGAGGAAGGCGGGGACGACGUCAAGUCAUCAUGGCCCUUACGGCCAGGGCUACACACGUGCUACAAUGGUCGGUACAAAGGGUUGCUACCUCGCGAGAGGAUGCUAAUCUCAAAAAGCCGAUCGUAGUCCGGAUCGCAGUCUGCAACUCGACUGCGUGAAGUCGGAAUCGCUAGUAAUCGCGGAUCAGAAUGCCGCGGUGAAUACGUUCCCGGGCCUUGUACACACCGCCCGUCACACCAUGGGAGUUUGUUGCACCAGAAGUAGGUAGUCUAACCGCAAGGAGGACGCUUACCACGGUGUGGCCGAUGACUGGGGUGAAGUCGUAACAAGGUAAGCGUAGAUGA